rnacentral:rRNA from 1 species
ACUCCUACGGGAGGCAGCAGUGGGGAAUAUUGGACAAUGGGCGCAAGCCUGAUCCAGCCAUGCCGCGUGAGUGAUGAAGGCCUUAGGGUUGUAAAGCUCUUUUAGCAGGGACGAUAAUGACGGUACCUGCAGAAAAGCCCCGGCCAACUUCGUGCCAGCAGCCGCGGUAAUACGAAGGGGCUAGCGUUGCUCGGAAUCACUGGGCGUAAAGCGCACGUAGGUGGGUCGUUAAGUCGGGGUGAAAUCCCAGGGCUCAACCCUGGAACUGCCUUCGAUACUGGCGACCUUCGAGUCCGGGAGAGGUGAGUGGAACUGCGAGUGUAGAGGUGAAAUUCGUAGAUAUUCGCAAGAACACCAGUGGCGAAGGCGGCUCACUGGCCCGGUACUGACACUGAGGUGCGAAAGCGUGGGGAGCAAACAGGAUUAGAUA